rnacentral:rRNA from 1 species
AAGCGGUGGCUGAGGAUGAAGACAAGGGUAUCUCUGUCUGAGGGUAAUGG